AGCGAACGCUGGCGGCAGGCCUAACACAUGCAAGUCGAACGAAGUCUUCGGAGUUAGUGGCGGACGGGUGAGUAACACGUGGGAACGUGCCUUUAGGUUCGGAAUAACUCAGGGAAACUUGUGCUGAUACCGAAUGUGCCCUUCGGGGGAAAGAUUUAUCGCCUUUAGAGCGGCCCGCGUCUGAUUAGCUAGUUGGUGAGGUAAAGGCUCACCAAGGCGACGAUCAGUAGCUGGUCUGAGAGGAUGACCAGCCACAUUGGGACUGAGACACGGCCCAAACUCCUACGGGAGGCAGCAGUGGGGAAUCUUGCGCAAUGGGCGAAAGCCUGACGCAGUCAUGCCGCGUGAAUGAUGAAGGUCUUAGGAUUGUAAAAUUCUUUCACCGGGGACGAUAAUGACGGUACCCGGAGAAGAAGCCCCGGCUAACUUCGUGCCAGCCGCCGCUGUAAUAC
rnacentral:rRNA from 1 species